rnacentral:rRNA from 1 species
AGAGUUUGAUCAUGGCUCAGGGUGAACGCUGGCGGCGUGCCUAACACAUGCAAGUCGAGCGGUGCAGUUUGAAGCUUCGGUGGAAAGCUGCAUAGCGGCGGACGGGUGAGGAAAACGUAGGAACGUGCCCCUUGGAGUUGGAUAGCCACGGGAAACUGUGGGUAAACCGACAUAGACUCGAGAGAGUAAAGGCCGAAAGGCGCCAAGGGAGCGGCCUGCGGCCCAUCAGGUAGUUGGUAGUGUAAAGGACUACCAAGCCGACGACGGGUAGCCGGUCUGAGAGGAUGGCCGGCCACAAGGGCACUGAGAGACGGGCCCUACUCCUACGGGAGGCAGCAGUGGGGGAUUUUGGACAAUGGGCGAAAGCCUGAUCCAGCGACGCCGCGUGGAGGACGAAGCCCUUCGGGGUGUAAACUCCUUUUCUCAGGGAAAAAGGAUGAUGGUACCUGAGGAAUAAGCCCCGGCUAACUACGUGCCAGCAGCCGCGGUAAUACGUAGGGGGCGAGCGUUACCCGGAAUUACUGGGCGUAAAGGGUGCGUAGGCGGCCUUGCAAGUCCGGUGUUAAAAGCCCUGGCUCAACUAGGGAGAUGCGCUGGAAACUGUAAGGCUUGGGUGCAGCAGAGGCAGAUGGAACUGCUGGUGUAGGGGUGAAAUCCGUAGAUAUCAGCAGGAACGCCGGUGGAGAAGUCGGUCUGCUGGGCUGUGACCGACGCUGAGGCACGAAAGCUAGGGGAGCGAACCGGAUUAGAUACCCGGGUAGUCCUAGCCGUAAACGAUGCUCACUUGGUGUGGGGGCAUAGAGCCUCUGUGCUGAAGCGAACGCGUUAAGUGAGCCGCCUGGGGAGUAUGCCCGCAAGGGUGAAACUCAAAUGAAUUGACGG